UACGGAGGGUCCAAGCGUUAUCCGGAAUCAUUGGGUUUAAAGGGUCCGUAGGCGGUUUUGUAAGUCAGUGGUGAAAGCCCAUCGCUCAACGGUGGAACGGCCAUUGAUACUGCAAGACUUGAAUUAUUAGGAAGUAACUAGAAUAUGUAGUGUAGCGGUGAGAUGCUUAGAGAUUACAUGGAAUACCAAUUGCGAAGGCAGGUUACUACUAAUGGAUUGACGCUGAUGGACGAAAGCGUGGGGAGCGAACAGG
rnacentral:rRNA from 1 species